UGGCAUUGGAAGGGUUAAUGGCAUUAUUGCUUCAAAAGAGCCUAUUGGCUCCCCCUCAAGGAUGCCCUGCAGUUGUUGUUACAGUCAUCAGAUGAAGCUGGUCUUCUCAGCUAGCCUUUAGAUUUGUCUGUUAACAGUAAAAAUGCUGUAAUAAAUCGGUAACAUAUGUUGCCAGGCAGGAAAAAGUGAUACAAAUAGAGCCUGGGAGACCCAAGCCAAGUACAAUGUGAAAAAAUUCAAAUUUCAAUCUAUGCCCUGGCUAAUUACCAUUUGAAAAGUAAUUUGAAAGUGUUGUUACUUGCUUAUACUCUUCCUAAUUUUUCUUUUUUUCUCUUCAGAUUGCUUUCUUACUCAAAUUAUCUCCGUGAUUGCCUGCCUUGCGGCUUUGGGGAACAUGAUUGCCUCAAGAGGAGUUAAAGAAAGCCAUUUGGUGAUGCUUCAUGAAGUUUUCAACUACACCCCCGAUGGAUGGUACCCUUUGCUGAGUUGCAGUGAUGGUUGGGCUGUGGAGGAUGACAUCAACUUCCUCUGUACCCAUUUUAAUGGGAAGUGUUUGAGUUCCACAUGUGGGCUGACCUCGCUUUGCAUAUGGAUUUUUAAAUGAACACCGUUGUCUUACAAUUUUUGAUUUAUUCAGUUUGGUGAACAAGGUUUCCCUUAUGAAUUCAAGUUUUCCUAGCAAAGAAAUUUGCUUGAGAAUGGCUUCACACACAGGUUGCCCUUUCACAGAUGGCCGUUGCAUACACCUCUCAGAUUUCCCCUGCUUCUCGAAGGGGUGGUCCACCUCGAGGAAGCAGCCCUGUGUGAAAAUUCAGUUGCUUUCAAAUGGGCCAAGAGAGCUAGAGAAAAAUAUCUCAUAGCAACACACCCUCAUUUAAGCACGAAGCCAAAGAUUUCUUUUCCCCUCUCCCCAAUUACAGUGUUCUAAAGGAAAACAGAAAACCCACACUAGUCUUAUUUCACAGAAGGAGAGCUCCACAUGUGGUUGGGGAAAUUUUCUGACUUAUUAAAUGUUGUUUAUAACCUCAUUUCUGUAGACCCUCCGCCUUCCCAAAGCAGUUUAUAGCUCCCUCAGUAACUGACUUAUCAAUUUUCUUCUGACCUGCUUUAAAUUUAACCCCACCCCUACCCCAAACUCAGAACCUUCAAGGAUCCAGGAUGAAGCCAAACUGUAGUUUACUCUCUGGCUCAGCACUGAAACCCCCGUUUUCCUUCUAAUCUAAUCUCUAAUUCUCAAGCUUGGCCAAAUAGUUAAAAAUGUUAAGUGCCAGCAGAACCUCCCCGCCCCCUCAUAGUUGUCUCUGUUUAUGGUAGGAGUCCCAGUUCCCUCCUGUUCUCCCGCAGCCCGGGGUCUUCAGGUCAGAACACUGUAAAUACACACAGCCUGGCUGGAUCCAUAAAUCUGAGUAAAGGGCAGGCGUAUAUAUUCAGAUAAACGUGGGCAUGCACAGAGACAUGGGGUUGGGGGUGGGGUUCUGCAGCUAUGUUCAGAGAAAAUUAAACUGAUCCAGAAUUCUUAGGGAGAAAAAGAAUUACAUCGGAAACAUUUCUUUUUUCUAGUGGAAGAGUUUGGAGCUGCUUCCUCUUCAUUUAUUUUAAUUUUCCCCACCUUGAUUAUAUUCCCAUACUUACCACAUAUAUUAUCUCAGGCAAUCAAAGAUGAUUUAUGUCCCUCAAAAGUAGCUUCUUUGCUGGGAUUGAAAACACGG